rnacentral:lncRNA from 1 species
AAGGCCGUCCAUCCAUACUUUCGACGCCAUGCGAGUGGCUUAUCGGCAUCCCAGGUAGCACAGUAAGCACUGGCAGCUCUCAAGUCCCAAUUAAUUUUGGCAGGAUUGUAGAAAUGAUAUGUAGCUCUCACAUUAGAGCCACUUUGGCAAGUGGCUCUAGCUAUGAGAAAGGCUAAGAACACGAUGCACACAGUUACCCUUACCCCCAUUCUAUUCGUCUGUAUUGGGUUUGUUUCAUGAGAGAAUUCAUGAAUUUAUAGGAGAAAAUCACUGAAAAGUAAGUUUAAAAUGUGGAAAUUGGGGAUUUGAAAACAGGGACUAACGACUGGAACUGUUACAAGUCGAGGGUUCAUUUGUGCAUACUCGGCACAUGAAGUGCAAGCAAAAUAGGACACUAAACAUUAAUUGUGGCAUUGGUGGAUGCAUUGUGUAUUUGCCAGGACGCGGCAAUGAAUGCCUGAAAAGUAAACUCUUCUAAGAUAAGAUCAUUAUUCCCCCUACGACUCUAAUGGUAAUUAACCAAAUCUUCAUAGUAAAAGCUGAAUUUUUGUAUACAUUUAGUAGCAUUAAUUAAAGUUUAUUGGAAUCCAGACUUAAAGAAAUUAGAUGUAAUUCUUCCAGUUGAUAUAACAUAUUCCAAACAAAUUAUGGGGUAUAUUUAAAAUAAAUAAAAAAUGUACUUCAUAAUUGAAUAAUUUCUAAUAACAUUACAAAGCGUGCUGAAAAUUUACGGAUAUAUAUGAUUGUUGUGAACUGUGCCUUGAGCAAAAGUGAAAUUCAGGUAUAAAUGUAAAUACAAAUAUGUCAUCUUUCACUUUUACAAUUAUCAUAUUUGUGAAUAUAUGUUUUCAUAGUAGAAUGUGUGCAUUCUGCCAAGUCUUUAAAUUAAUUAUUUUUUCUAUUUUUAUGUAUCGCAUGUGAAUAUUAAUUUACGGAUGAUGAUUCUGCUUUGUCCCUUUAAGUGAUUAAAGCUCUAGAAAUGCUUUCAGUUUCCACUAGAGAACACUAGUAGAAUGUAACUUCAAAUUGUAAAGCCUGGAGCUUUGACAUUUAUCCUUAAUUGCAUUAUUAUUGUUACUACUGUUAUUAACUUGUUGAGUGAAUCUUUAAUAAAUUAUUAUUUUUAUCAUUCACUACAUGAAUCAAUUUUAAAAAAGAAAUAUUUAACUAUUCAAUAAACGACGAGACAUUAACAUUUCUAACAGGAUAGAGUGUCUAUGUCGAACACAUAUCAAAUAUGAUAUUAACACAAACAAAGAAUAGUAUCAUGUCUUAGAUCUUUCCAGAAUAGUUAUAUUUUAAAAUGACUAUAUAAAUAUGUUCACACGCCGCGUUUAAGUCAAAUGUCAUAAGUCACUAAAAGGAAUGAGAUUAGAAAGUUUAUUUGCAUUAAUUCAAGGAUGAUGGCAAUUGGGAAUAAUCCAUGUUUGUAUUAAUCUUUGUCAUUAUUCCGAGACCAGCAAGAUUUCCAAUGCAUGAAAUAUUUAUUUAUGGUAGAAGCUUAUUCUAAGUGGUAGCAAGUGAUGCUUCUUCAAAGGUUGUAUAUGGUGAAUUCAUCUAAUCACCACAAUUUACAAACUGAUAGCUAACAAUAAGGUGGCCUUGAGCAAUGCCUCUUCCAUCGGUGUCUAUCUGCCGGAAAACGCCUUCAUCCAAGUCCAACCCUCCGUUGCUACACUGAUCAACUACCCGGACAGUCACUUGAGCUCCUGUUCCAGUAUUUGUCACCUGAACAAUAUCAUUUUAACAGCGAAUUAACAUGAAUUUUGAUUAAAUAAAUCCAGAAUAAAUAUUUGCUAGAAUUUUUCAGAAAAAUGAAUAGAUUACUAGGAGUGGGACUCUUGCCGCCCCUGCCCUACGAAACAAGACAAGACACUCAAAUAUAAGGUUUCACUUUGAUCAUAGAUGUUUCUUACCCUCAAGCAUUUGCCACAGGCCGCUUGACCUUGACCCACCGGAUGACAGAAGGCCGUCCAUCCAUACUUUUGACGCCAUGCGAGCGGCUUGUCGGCAUCCCAGGUAGCGCAGAAAGCACUGGCAGCUCUCAAGUCCCAAUUAAUUUGGGCCGGAUUGUAGAAAUGAUAGGUAGCUCUCACAUUAGAGCCACUUUGGCAAGUGGCUCUAGCUAUGAGAAAGGCUAAGAACACAAUGCACACAGUUACUCUUGUCC